ACUAGGAGAAGCCACUCUUCCUGCUAAGCAUUAUCUGCAUAAACGACAUUGUGGCUUGUAGAGAAUUCAGCACUAUAGUGUUAUUGUUUGCCUCAUUGAGUUGGCACAUUCAUUUUAGCUGUGAAUUCAGCACAUUUUUCAUUACAUCCAUUACUGCAAGCGUUUUUAUUGAUUUUUUUGAGGGAUAAAUUCAAUCAUAUAUCGGUCAUCCAUUCUUUUAUGUUCUUCCGACCUUGUUGAUAAUGAGCCCCUGGUGAAGUCCAGUUGGAUGAAACGCGUUGUUUUUGGUUUGGAUAUAAGAGCAUCGGAUAUGUUUUAAUUAAGAGAGCAUCUUCGGAUUAACAAACUGUCCGCAUUAUAUUGUUUUAUAUCUGAUGUCUGUAUUUUAAAUAUGUCAGCCAUUUGUUAUUCAAUGUGAUUCACUGUCUAACACUUUUAUACAAAUAAAUUGGAGUUUUUUAAGUGAACUGUGGUCAAAUCCUGGAAGAUAAUACCUUGAUUAAGCUCCCUUAAGACACCCCCUUUUCUUUUAUCUGCACUUUUGUACUCCAUCUAACAGGGAGUACGCCUUGAUGUUGAGCUCCAUACUUAGCGCUUUCAUUAGGUCUACCCCAGUUUCCAUAUAUAUAUAUAUAUAUAUAUAUAUACUGUAUAUGUAUCAGUGAAAGAGUCAGCUGCUUGUGCAGCGGUUGCAGCUCUAUAUUUAGAGUACCCUUUCACUCCUCAAACUCUGGCCUUAAAUGUUUUCAUUUUCACAACUGCUGGAGUACUCCAAGCUUGAGAUCUCAAGUCAUCUUCUAGACAAUAGUAAAGUGUGAUAAUAAUAUGGAGGCAACAGUGGUUGUCAUAGGGAAUGUAGAGAUUAUGACUUAAAAAAGUAGGGAUGUCAUGAAGUGUACAACCUCUAAAAACACUUUUAGCUUGUCCAUUUAGUUUACUUUUCAUAUAUUAAUUUUAACAAAAAAAAUCCAUUAUUAUAAAAAUAAAACAAAACAAAAUUGGCAUCAAUACACUGUUUUAUUUUACGAUUCAAAUUAUAGGAUUACAAUAAAUGCAAGAUGAUGACAGUUC